GAGGUGAGAAAAUCUUCAUUCCUCCUCUCGAUGCCUCUUUUUAUUGCCUUCCGUUGAUGUUGAACUUUUUCGCAGCAAUGUUAGGUAAUAGAGAGUAUUUGUUCAUAGAUGUGAUUUCUUCAAUUUAAGAUAAACAAAUUUCAACUUUAGAUAUAUUUUCUUUGACAAUUAUUUAAUUAUAUGAAUGUAGGUGAGCUACAUAUUUAC
rnacentral:lncRNA from 1 species